GAUGAAGAACGUAGCAAAAUGCGAUAAUUAAUGUGAAUUGCAGAAUUCAGUGAAUCAUCGAAUCUUUGAACGCACAUUGCGCCCGCCAGUAUUCUGGCGGGCAUGCCUGUUCGAGCGUCAUUUCAACCCUCAAGCCCAGCUUGGUGUUGGGAUCUGUCCUUACCGACAGUCCCCAAAUUGAUUGGCGGUCACGUCGAGCUUCCAUAGCGUAGUAAUUUACACAUCGUUACUGGUAAUCGUCGCGGCCACGCCGUUAAACCCCAACUUCUGAAUGUUGACCUCGGAUCAGGUAGGAAUACCCGCUGAACUUAAGCAUAUCAAUAAGCGGAGGA
rnacentral:misc_RNA from 1 species